CACCCUGGAUGCCAAGAAGCCACCUCGAUUAUGACGGUGUAUCACCGAGGGUUUCAAAUACACCUGUUCCCCUCUAUGUCCAUCAAGAACCAAUAAGUCAACCCUAGGAUGCAUGGAACAAUCUUCAAGAAGGCGACUGCCACAUCGUCAUCGGCAUUGUUGUACUACAAGAGAGAAAGGGAGAGGCAGACACAAGAUAUGCAUAAACCAGAGGGGAUUAACUAGAGCACUGAUAUUGAGAAGACCAAAAUGAGCAACUUGAAGAUAACAUGGCAUUAUAAUCAAUGAUGCAAUACAAACAGCUAAGCUGUGGAAAUGGACUUGCUCCAUUACAAGCAGAAAUAAUACCUAUUAAGGGAGGUCAUCUAAGUGCAGAUGGACAAUGUGGGACAUUACUGUGAGUAGUGAGUAAAAUGGUGAACAAAAGAAGGUAAAACAAACCAAUAGCCGAAAGUUACAACCUUUCAACGGUUUAAUGUGAAGUGCUACCACAUUAUGGACUCAUCUAAGUGAAAAUUGUAAAUCUUCUUUUGUAUUUCAUUUACCUUAAAAUUAACAGUUUUAUGUUUUCCUUCACUUAGUGUAACACAAUUUCAGUGGUAAACCUAAUGUCAUCCCCACUGCUAUGGGCGGGAAGAUAGGAAAAUUCAAAGAAAACAGUCCUAUUAAAAAUUUUAAUUUAUUUAAAAUCAUAUUCUUGGCAGUUCCAUUUUUCUGGUGUCAGAAUUUGUAAUGGAACUGACAAAUAGACUUCAUUUUGUUACAUUAUACACUAGUUAAAGUUGUGUUAAAAAGCAUUUGCUUAAUAUGAUAUUAGGAUAGGUGUUGAGAUCAAUAAUCAAUAUUGAAAUUAUAUGUUCUCUGUAGCUACGACCAUGAUCUUUGGUGUGCAGCGUGACUUUGGCCACUUGACUUUUAGCUGCGGUCGAGUGUAGUCAUUAUCAAG